UUAUCUGAUCUCCCAUUUUACAGAUGAAGAAACUGAGACCCAGGAAAGAGAAGGCUUUGGCCAAGGUAACUGAGGGAGCAAGGGGAGCUGUCAGGAUUUGAAUUCAGGCUCUCUGACUCUCCAAAUCCAGUGCUCCAUUAAACCACAUGGCAUUUAAGAUCUUUUUUCCCCUUUCUUUUCUUUCUAGAGGCAAUGGGGAAUUGCUGAAGGUUUCUUUCUUUCUUUCUUCUUUUAAGGAGGUAACAUGAUUGAUGAUUCUUUUAGGAAGAUGAAUGCAGUGUGGUGUGAAGAAUUGAUUGCAGCGGAGAGACGUGACUAAGGGAGUGAGACCAGUUCAGCAUUCUUCCUCCAAGUGAUCAGUUUAUCUGUGAGGAGAAAUCCCUUAUUUCCCAGGGCAGAUCAUUGUGGCCAGCUUUAAUUGUGAGACCAGGUGGACUAACUGCAGGACAACUUCUCUUCAGUAAAAUGACUCUGCUUACUCUCAUCUCUGAGGCACACAUUGUUCGGUCCUGAAUGAGCUCCGCACACCCAAUUAUCAACUGGACUAGGGAGAGAGCAGGUGGAAGUGUAACUGUCAUAAGGCAGGACAAUUAAAAAGCACUGAAACGGCUAGCACAAUGAAGACUAAGCGGCUUCGACAAGAAAGGUUUGAGUAAAAAGAAACACCUGUAUGUUUUACUCAAUAAGCACAAGCUAUCAUUUUUCAAGUGGCCUUUGAAAUUUCAUGUUUGCUAAAACUGCCCUCCUUUCUCAAAGUAAGCUACAUCACUAUGUAUCCUUAACAAGAUUAAAAAAAAAAAAAAAGUGAACAUUACUUCAGGGUUUUGGUUCUGUUUUGUUUCCAAAAACAGAAAAAAGCUCAUA